rnacentral:rRNA from 1 species
AGAGUUUGAUCCUGGCUCAGGACGAACGCUGGCGGCGUGCUUAACACAUGCAAGUCGACGAAAGGCCCGCUUGCGGGUACUCGAGUGGCGAACGGGUGAGUAACACGUGGGCAACCUGCCCUCAGCUCUGGGAUAACUCCGGGAAACCGGUGCUAAUACUGGAUAGGACUUCGCAUCGCAUGGUGUGGGGUGGAAAGUUUUUCGGCUGAGGAUGGGCCCGCGGCCUAUCAGCUUGUUGGUGGGGUAAUGGCCUACCAAGGCGACGACGGGUAGCCGGCCUGAGAGGGCGACCGGCCACACUGGGACUGAGACACGGCCCAGACUCCUACGGGAGGCAGCAGUGGGGAAUAUUGCGCAAUGGGCGAAAGCCUGACGCAGCGACGCCGCGUGAGGGAUGACGGCCUUCGGGUUGUAAACCUCUUUCAGCUCUGACGAGGCGAAAGUGACGGUAGGAGCAGAAGAAGCACCGGCCAACUACGUG